rnacentral:rRNA from 1 species
GCGGUACUCUGACCGUGCAAAGGUAGCAUAAUCAUUUGCCUUAUAAUUGAAGGCUAGUAUGAAUGGUUUGACGAGAAUCGAGCUGUCUCUCUUCAAUUAAAUAUAAUUUUAUUUACAGGUGAAGAAGCCUGUUUACUAUUGAAAGACAAGAAGACCCUAUCGAGCUUUAAGGAAUUUAGUAAACUUACAACAUAUUUAUAAAAAAGUGAGAUUAUUAAAGACUUUGGUUGGGGCGACUGAGGAACAAACAAAGCUUCCUUUAACUAAGAAAAACUUACAGGUAAUGAUCCAAUAAAAUUGAUCAAAGAAAUUAGUUACCGUAGGGAUAACAGCAUAAUCUCCUUCGAGAGUUCUCAUCGAAAAGGGGGUUUGUGACCUCGAUGUUGGACCAGAAUACCCAGAAGAUGCAGCUGUCUUCAAUGGUUGGUCUGUUCGACCAUUAAAAUUCUACGUGAA